rnacentral:lncRNA from 1 species
GCUUUCUUAGUUUGGCCAAUUCUACAAAACCCGCGAAUCAAACUUGUACACGGAAUAAUAUCAGGAAUAUCACCACCAUACACCAUACUCUCAAGGUGCUUAAAACUUUCUUCUAAUUCCCCAUUCCUGACCAACCGACGAAGAUAAUUAUUACUCUCAAAUUCCUCAAAGUUUUCAGAUAUGCUCCCUUGCACAUGUGGCCUCUUUUCAACACAUGAUAACCUACCAUUAGUGCCUAAAGUUUCACUUCUUGAAAUAGCAAAUACCUUACUUUGUCUCUGUUUUCUUAACUGCCCCACAACUACCUGUAUUGAACUGUAGCCUUCUUAGUUUGGCCAAUUCUACAAAACCCGCGAAUCAAACUUGUACAUGGAAUAAUAUCAGGAAUAUCACCACCAUACACCAUACUCUCAAGGUGCUUAAAACUUUCUUCUAAUUCCCCAUUCCUGACCAACCGGCGAAGAUAAUUAUUACUCUCAAAUUCCUCAAAGUUUUCAGAUAUGCUCCCUUGCACAUGUGGCCUCUUUUCAACACAUGAUAACCUACCAUUAGUGCCUAAAGUUUCACUUCUUGAAAUAGCAAAUACCUUACUUUGUCUCUGUUUUCUUAACUGCCCCACAACU